rnacentral:rRNA from 1 species
AUUUGGUACCCUGGUAGUCCAUGCUGUAAACAAUAAAUAUUAAAUAUUUGAUCUGGUUAAACAUAUAAUUUUAUAUGGGAAGAAAAUCAUUUUAGAUUUUAACAUCAAAUAUUAAAAGUUAACACGUUAAAUAUUUCGCCUGGGGAGUAAAACCGCAAGGUUGAAACUCAAAGGAAUUGACGGGAGCUUAUACUUACGGUGGAGCAUGUGGUUUAAUCCGAUAGUCCGCGUGGAAUCUUACCAAUUUUUGACAGUUAUUUAGUUUUGAUUAAAUAAACAGGUGUUGCAUGGUCGUUGUCAGCUUAUGUUUUGAAAUUUUAUAAGUAUAACCCUUAAUUUAAUUUACUAAUAUUUAGAAAAAUUUUUAAACUAAAAAUUACUAAGUAAGUACUAUUAAAUUAGAAAUAUAAAAGUUUUUUUAUAUUUUAUGAGGAUGAAAAUAGAUCGUUAUGACCCUUAUAAAUUGGGC